GGAUAUGAAGGUGACUUGACCAUGACAUCUGUUACCCCAUGGAAGGCCAGGGUUGAUCUGGCUGACAUAGCUGGCUAGGUUUCCCCUUCCUCCCUCACCACUCCAUGUGCAUCUUUCCCCAAGUUGUGUGCUCAGUCAGAGGACAGCCUUUUCACACAGAGUUGGAUCAUUCUUCAGAUGAAGGUAUACAAGUAGCUGUGCUCCCCUGCUAGAACAUCCAAACACACUCUCAAGAAAAUAUUUGUAUGGGUGAGUGGUCUUCUAGCAGUGCUCAGGAGGCUCCUGUGAUACUCAGCCUGACUAUGCAGGUCUGGUGGUUC
rnacentral:snRNA from 1 species